rnacentral:rRNA from 1 species
GUGGGGAAUAUUCCGCAAUGGACGAAAGUCUGACGGAGCAACGCCGCGUGAGUGAUGAAGGUUUUCGGACUGUAAAGCUCUGUUGUUUAGGACGAAAGUGCCUGUUGCGAACAGUUACAGGUAUUGACGGUACUAAACGAUGAAGCCACGGCUAACUACGUGCCAGCAGCCGCGGUAAUACGUAGGUGGCAAGCGUUGUCCGGAAUUAUUGGGCGUAAAGAGCAUGUAGGCGGAGAUUUAAGUCUGUUGUGAAAAUGCGGGGCUCAACCCCGUAUUGCGAUGGAAACUGAAUUUCUUGAGUGCAGGAGAGGAAAGGGGAAUUCCCAGUGUAGCGGUGAAAUGCGUAGAUAUUGGGAGGAACACCAGUGGCGAAGGCGCCUUUCUGGACUGUGUCUGACCCUGAGAUGCGAAAGCCAGGGUAGCGAACGGGAUUAGAUACCCCGGUAGUCC